GAUGAACGCUGGCUACAGGCUUAACACAUGCAAGUCGAGGGGAAACGACGGGGAAGCUUGCUUCCCCGGGCGUCGUCCGGCGCACGGGUGAGUAACGCGUAUCCAACCUGCCUCUGACUGAGGGAUAACCCGUCGAAAGUCGGCCUAAUACCUCAUGGUAUCGUCUGCGGGCAUCCAACGACGAUUAAAGAUUUCAUCGGUCAGGGAUGGGGAUGCGUCUGAUUAGCUUGUUGGCGGGGUAACGGCCCACCAAGGCUACGAUCAGUAGGGGUUCUGAGAGGAAGGUCCCCCACAUUGGAACUGAGACACGGUCCAAACUCCUACGGGAGGCAGCAGUGAGGAAUAUUGGUCAAUGGGCGAGAGCCUGAACCAGCCAAGUAGCGUGCAGGAAGACGGCCCUAUGGGUUGUAAACUGCUUUUAUGCGGGGAUAAAGUGAGGGACGUGUCCCUCAUUGCAGGUACCGCAUGAAUAAGGACCGGCUAAUUCCGUG
rnacentral:rRNA from 1 species